UAGGGUGACCAACUGUCCCAGUUUGCCUGGGACUUUCCCAGUUUUCAUACUGAAAGUUCCAUAUGCCAGAAACUCCCCCUCCACAAGUCCUGGACAAACUGGGAGAGUUGGUCACCCUAUUUCAGU
rnacentral:pre_miRNA from 1 species